UUUUUGAGGUAGUGGACAAGAAAUAACAAUACGGGGCUUAAUGUCUUUGUAAAUUGGAAUGAUGGGAAUUUAAACCUCUUCCAGAGUAUCAAUUGGAGGGCAAGUCUGGUGCCAGCAGCCGCGGUAAUUCCAGCUCCAAUAGCGUAUAUUAAAAUUGUUGCAGUUAAAAAGCUCGUAGUUGAAUUUCUGCUACAUUGCCUAUUCUCCUUUACGAGUUUGGGUCUUUUGUGGCUUAUCUGGGUUCGCUUGCGUUCCCGGUGUUUUACUUUGAGAAAAUUAGAGUGCUCAAAGCAGGCUUUUGCCUUGAAUAGUUUAGCAUGGAAUAAUAAAGUAGGACUUUGGUUCUAUUUUGUUGGUUUUAGGUACCAAAGUAAUGGUUAAUAGGAACAGUUGGGGGCAUUCGUAUUUAACUGUCAGAGGUGAAAUUCUUAGAUUUGUUAAAGACCGAACUACUGCGAAAGCAUUUGCCCAAAGGAUGUUUUCAUUAAUCAAGAACAAAAAGUUAGGGGAUCGAAGACG
rnacentral:rRNA from 1 species